AAAAAGGGCGGGUUGGCUAAAUAUGGCACACCCCACUAGUCUAGUGGGGGCUGUAUGACUAUUAAGAUAUAUGACCGACAUAAUUUUUGGAAUUCGAAUAGGGUUGACUCGCUUGGCCAACUCUCUAU
rnacentral:snRNA from 1 species